CGCUUGGCAUUUUAAUGUCUCUUUCUGUUUAACUUUUGAAAUUCUCUAGAAAUGUUCCUACUCGCUCAUUUUCAAAAUUCUCUAGGCUACCGCUCUCACUCGCUCAGUGUGAACGUAUUAGGAUACUUAAAAUAUCCUUUCUAAAGCUUCCGAAAAAAAUCCCUAAAUCGAAAUACGUUCACACUAAACAAGACAAGUGACAUUUAAAACAAAAUAACUCAAAUUUAAAGAAUAAAACCAGCUUGGAGCUAUCGCAGAGAGAAUCUUUAACAAUUGAGACCAGAGGCUGGUGCAGCUUGGCAGCUUCCAACUUGCAGCCAAAGGUGACAACGAUGAUGACAUCCAAUUAAUGCCUGCCACCGUUGUAUAACAGAAGGCGUAACCGGGCGUGUCUUCUAUAUAGGAUUGAAACCGAAAGAUACAACAAAAACACACAUCGAUCUCAAUCCAUCAAUCAAAUGGUGCUAACUGUGUCAAACCUUCUACUGCUAAUCGCCUUGGCGGUCACUCUCAAUCAAUUUAGAAAUGGAGAGAAACGCUUUAGCGUUUUAGAACGAGAACAGAAGUCUGAUGAACAAAAGCCCUGGAGGAAAGAGGUGACAAAUCCGAGAAUCCAAGAGGGGAGAAAGGCGACCCAGAUAACCGAAACCGAAACUGAGACUGAGAGAUCCAUAAACUGGAACCGAACGCGAAUACCGAGAGACAUGUAGUACAUAUCCAUCUAUAAAAGCCUGGCCCAGC